UGGUCAGAUGAAGACAAGAAAGCGGAGAGAGAAGGGGGAAUGACAAGCAGCACAGGGCUGCAGGUCCGAGUCAAACCCGCAGCUGCUGCGU